UACGAAGGGGGCUAGCGUUGUUCGGAAUUACUGGGCGUAAAGGGCUCGUAGGCGGUCCAUCGCGUCGGGAGUGAAAAGCUGGGGCUUAACCCCAGUCCUGCUUCCGAUACGGGUGGACUAGAGGUAGGUAGGGGAGAACGGAAUUCCUGGUGUAGCGGUGGAAUGCGCAGAUAUCAGGAGGAACACCGAUGGCGAAGGCAGUGUUCUGGGCCAGUACUGACGCUGGAGGAGCGAAAGCGUGGGAGCAAACAGG
rnacentral:rRNA from 1 species